UACGAAGGGGGCUAGCGUUGCUCGGAAUCACUGGGCGUAAAGGGUGCGUAGGCGGGUCUUUAAGUCAGGGGUGAAAUCCUGGAGCUCAACUCCAGAACUGCCUUUGAUACUGAGGAUCUUGAGUUCGGGAGAGGUGAGUGGAACUGCGAGUGUAGAGGUGAAAUUCGUAGAUAUUCGCAAGAACACCAGUGGCGAAGGCGACUCACUGGACACAUAUUGACGCUGAGGUGCGAAAGCGUGGGGAGCAAACAGG
rnacentral:rRNA from 1 species